AUAAUAGUCCAAUUUUCCAUAAUAUGGUUAUACCAAAAUAAUGGUUAAAGACAUUUUUCAUGCUUGGUCUAACCCUUAUGAGAUUCGAUGACCCGACUCCCCUAAAAUUUCGUUCACAAAAAAGAUAAUACUUUUAUUUAAUUGCAGUUAUAAAUAAAAAGAGGGCGAGAAAUCAAAUCUACCCAUUUAUCGUAUUUCUCAUCUACGGCGAAUCAUCCUCGAGCACUUUACCUUCAAAACCCUAGAUCUCUAAAAUCUUUCAUAAUCUCUUUCUUCCUCCAUUCCACCCUCAAAUAUCUUGCGCAGUCCAUCGAAAAAUUCUAAGAUUGCAAAGAUAUCAUAAAUCUCAACAUUUUUACCAAUUGUUUCUCCACUCUUUCUCUUUUCUGGACCUUUCUCUUCCCCUUUUCCUCUAAUCCAAGAUCUUUUCAUUUAUCUAAGUCCUUUGGCAUACAACUAUUUGAAUCAUCUCUUUAUUUUGUUUCAUUUUCUCCGAUCCAGAUCUUAGAGAAAUUUGAAAUCGUAUCUCACCUUAUCAAAUGAACGAGAGGGAUAGGUAAAUAUGAUUUUUUUCACAUGCCUGAAUAUAUCAUGUCUUUUACUAUUUAUUGAAACUAAUUUUUUUUUUUGUCAGGUUUCAUCUCUGCUAUAUAUUAUCUGGACACUGAGAUAAGUCUAAGCAAAGAUCAACCUCUCCUAAAAAAAAAGGUAGGAAAACUCUUGUACAGUU
rnacentral:lncRNA from 1 species